CAGGGGAUGUCCAUCUCAUGAGUUAAUCGCCUUCUGUUCAGAUGUCAGGAGGAGAUGAAGUUUCUAUAAAUAGAUGGUGAAGCUCCUGUGGUUUCAGCUGUGAUUCACACACAUGGCAGAGAAGCAUUAGGAAGAAUUAACAUUCAAUCUCUCAGGCACUUUCCUGAGCACAAAUGCCAUUCUGUCCCAGCCAUUUAAUCUCCUUGCCCAGGGGAGCUCAGCAGCACUUUCUGGAGGGUCUGAAUGGGUCAAAUGGACAGGGAAACCCAGAGCAGGACUGCUGGGAAGAUAAAAAUGGCCAUUUCAGCUGGAGUGACUGUGCAACACCUGCCCACCAUAUACAGCUGCAUUUAGGAACGUGGCAAGGUGCCCUGCUCCCCCUUUACUGGGACUGAGAUCAGACGGUGUGGUUCUGUUAUGGUACGCGCACGCUGGGAUGCCUGACAACAGCUUCUGGGACUGAGACAGCUUCUGAUGAUGCAGGCAUCCAGCAGCCGAAGCCUCCUCAAGCUCACUGGCAUGGAGGUCAAGUGGAUUCACGUGUUGGUCAUCUUCUUCUUCCUGAUGUCUGUUGCGAUGACAGGCUGCUUUCUGUGGCAGUACAGCCUCCCCAAGGUGGAGUCCAGCCCAUCUGUAAUGGACAUGAGAGCAGAAGCUGUGCAGAUGUGCCCCCGCUAUCCAGAACCAGUACCGCUGGACCACCCAAUCCCCAUUCUGAAGGAUGCAUUGGGAAAGGUCUGUGAGGAGAACAGAACAGAGGGACAUGGAGCUCAUGACUUCUUUUCUGAAGGUGUAAAGGGGAAAAUAUGUAUUUUGCCACUGAGCAUCUCUGGGGGAAGAGGUGGGGAAUUGAGGAAGUGGAGAAGAUGUGAAUGUAGAAAUGGGUAUACAGAACUCCUUCACUGAAUAUACAGACCAGGUCAGUAAGCAGUUCUCUUAUCCAAAGGGUAAGCUAUGAUGAAGAAACAGUAUUACCUGUCCAUCAGAAGAUCCGGUGAGCAUAUAACAGCACAUGGCUCCUGGCAUCUUGCCUAAUAUUAGGCAGUUCUCAUGUCCUGGAAAGUGACUCAUGUAACCAUUUCCUCUUCAUCAGUGACUGCCAAUUCCUUAUUUUAUUGCUUUGCUGGCUUUCCCCAUGGCACCAUUUAAAGAUUAAAAAGCCACUUGCAGGUAACUUCAAGGAAAGAAAUGGAGGGAAAUGGGAAGAAGGGGACAUGCAUCUGAAUGAGAGACCUGUUUUUCCUCCGUAUGAUAUACUGCCUCUGAAAUUUUAAAACUGUCUGAAAUUCGGGUAGGCUCUAUUUGCAAUGAGGAAAUACCGCAGCAUUGCCUUGAUUGUAUGGACCAUAAGGACAGCCAUGCUCUGACAGAAGACUGCUGGUAGUAUAUAUCAUAAAAUAUAUCCUCUCAUUAGUCUCUUUCUCAUUAGCAGCUUGAUUAGUCAUAAUAGAAGCUGCCCCACAGCUCUGAUCAUUCUUUUUACCCUUUUUUGAAUCUCUUCCGACUCUAGCAUACUCCUGUGAAGAUGUGGGAAAUCAGUACUGUGCACAGUAUUCGAGGUGCAAGUGGAUUAGGGAUUUAUACAGUGAUAAAAUGGUGUUUUCUGUUUUAUUUUAUGUUACUUCUCUCAUAAUCCCUCAUAUCUGAUUUACCUUUUUUUUUUUUUCUGCCACAGGGCACUGAGCAAAUGUUUACAUAGGAGCAUCCAUCACAGCCCCAAGGUCUCGUUCCUGAGUGCUAAAGCCCAGCUCACUGCCCAUCUGUGUCUAUGUGUUGUGAAGUUAGGGUUGUUUUCCUUCAGGCAUGUCACUUUAUCUACACUGAAUUUCGGUUGCUGUCACUUCACAUCCACUUUUCUGAAGUCUGUGCCACUGUCUCUGGGGUUACUGUAGAGAGGUAUUUUAUU
ensembl:lncRNA